rnacentral:misc_RNA from 1 species
CCGAGUGUAGGGUUCCUAGCGAGCCCAACCUCCCACCCGUGUUUACUGUACCUUAGUUGCUUCGGCGGGCCCGCCGUCAUGGCCGCCGGGGGCGUUCAGCCCCGGGCCCGCGCCCGCCGGAGACACCACGAACUCUGUCUGAUCUAGUGAAGUCUGAGUUGAUUGUAUCGCAAUCAGUUA